UCGGUUUCCUUGUCAGCAAAAUGAGGAUAACACCAUCUACCUCAGAAUUGCUAUGAGGAUCACACAAGGAGACAAGCAAAAUGCUUUGUAGAUCAUAAAGCCUGAAUCGACGAUCUUUCUCCUUUUUUCUCACCCAGCUCCAAGAAGGAAGACCUCAGCUGCUGAGUUCCUUACUGCUUCUCAGAGCUCUAAGCAGGAAACCAGAGGGAGGCAGCGAUGGGGAAAUGGCUGCCUAUGGAGGGUGAUAGUGCUGACUUGCCCUGAAUCACUUGAUGUCAGUGAUGGGGGAAGAACCGGGCUCUGGGUCCUGGUGCUGAGUCCUUGACCCUAAAACAAUGAGUGAACUUGCUGGAAAUCCCAACCUACUAGGCUGAGACUGCCUCUUGGAGCCAGGGGCUUGAUACACAGGGGCACAGGGAGAGGGGAGGAAUACGCUUAGAGGGAUAUUUAGGGGCUUUAAGAGGAAAACAUCCUUUGUGCAUUUCCUUAUUAAGGCCUGGGAACAGGAGGAAGCACAGGUGCCUCCAGAGCCCCAUCAGUAGUUUGAGACGCUCUUUGAUGCCAUGGCCCUCCCUGGGGAAAAUAGGCUCAAGUCUGCUUUUAUGGGGCUAAUACAUAAAAAUGAAUCUGUUUCAGGGGCCAGAAAACCUUUAUGGGGACCCAGGGAUUUUGAGUUCUACGGAAGGGUGAAGGGGCCUAGAGUCGGAUUUAGGAAGUUCAGCAGUUCCUCUGUCAGUUCCAGAAACCCCAGGGAGGGAACUUCAAAAGCCUGGGACUCCCAAGAAAUCCCAGACUGUCAAAGCCAAGA